AUACGGAAGGUCCGGGCGUUAUCCGGAUUUAUUGGGUUUAAAGGGAGCGCAGGCGGCCUUUUAAGCGUGACGUGAAAUGCCGGGGCUCAACCUUGGAAUUGCGUCGCGAACUGGCGGGCUUGAGUACGCUUGAGGCAGGCGGAAUUCGUGGUGUAGCGGUGAAAUGCUUAGAUAUCACGAGGAAUCCCGAUUGCGAAGGCAGCCUGCCGGGGUGUUACUGACGCUCAUGCUCGAAGGUGCGGGUAUCAAACAGGAUUAGAUACCCUGGUAGUCCGCACGGUAAACGAUGGACGCCCGCUGUUGGGCCCUAGGGUUCAGCGGCCAAGCGAAAGCGUUAAGCGUCCCACCUGGGGAGUACGCCGGCAACGGUGAAACUCAAAGGAAUUGACGGGG
rnacentral:rRNA from 1 species